rnacentral:rRNA from 1 species
UGUGAGCUCGAUGAGUAGGGCGGGACACGUGGUAUCCUGUCUGAAUAUGGGGGGACCAUCCUCCAAGGCUAAAUACUCCUGACUGACCGAUAGUGAACCAGUACCGUGAGGGAAAGGCGAAAAGAACCCCGGCGAGGGGAGUGAAAAAGAACCUGAAACCGUGUACGUACAAGCAGUGGGAGCACGCUUAGGCGUGUGACUGCGUACCUUUUGUAUAAUGGGUCAGCGACUUAUAUUCUGUAGCAAGGUUAACCGAAUAGGGGAGCCGAAGGGAAACCGAGUCUUAACUGGGCGUUAAGUUGCAGGGUAUAGACCCGAAACCCGGUGAUCUAGCCAUGGGCAGGUUGAAGGUUGGGUAACACUAACUGGAGGACCGAACCGACUAAUGUUGAAAAAUUAGCGGAUGACUUGUGGCUGGGGGUGAAAGGCCAAUCAAACCGGGAGAUAGCUGGUUCUCCCCGAAAGCUAUUUAGGUAGCGCCUCGUGAAUUCAUCUCCGGGGGUAGAGCACUGUUUCGGCAAGGGGGUCAUCCCGACUUACCAACCCGAUGCAAACUGCGAAUACCGGAGAAUGUUAUCACGGGAGACACACGGCGGGUGCUAACGUCCGUCGUGAAGAGGGAAACAACCCAGACCGCCAGCUAAGGUCCCAAAGUCAUGGUUAAGUGGGAAACGAUGUGGGAAGGCCCAGACAGCCAGGAUGUUGGCUUAGAAGCAGCCAUCAUUUAAAGAAAGCGUAAUAGCUCACUGGUCGAGUCGGCCUGCGCGGAAGAUGUAACGGGGCUAAACCAUGCACCGAAGCUGCGGCAGCGACGCUUAUGCGUUGUUGGGUAGGGGAGCGUUCUGUAAGCCUGUGAAGGUGUGCUGUGAGGCAUGCUGGAGGUAUCAGAAGUGCGAAUGCUGACAUAAGUAACGAUAAAGCGGGUGAAAAGCCCGCUCGCCGGAAGACCAAGGGUUCCUGUCCAACGUUAAUCGGGGCAGGGUGAGUCGACCCCUAAGGCGAGGCCGAAAGGCGUAGUCGAUGGGAAACAGGUUAAUAUUCCUGUACUUGGUGUUACUGCGAAGGGGGGACGGAGAAGGCUAUGUUGGCCGGGCGACGGUUGUCCCGGUUUAAGCGUGUAGGCUGGUUUUCCAGGCAAAUCCGGAAAAUCAAGGCUGAGGCGUGAUGACGAGGCACUACGGUGCUGAAGCAACAAAUGCCCUGCUUCCAGGAAAAGCCUCUAAGCAUCAGGUAACAUCAAAUCGUACCCCAAACCGACACAGGUGGUCAGGUAGAGAAUACCAAGGCGCUUGAGAGAACUCGGGUGAAGGAACUAGGCAAAAUGGUGCCGUAACUUCGGGAGAAGGCACGCUGAUAUGUAGGUGAAGCGACUUGCUCGUGGAGCUGAAAUCAGUCGAAGAUACCAGCUGGCUGCAACUGUUUAUUAAAAACACAGCACUGUGCAAACACGAAAGUGGACGUAUACGGUGUGACGCCUGCCCGGUGCCGGAAGGUUAAUUGAUGGGGUCAGCGCAAGCGAAGCUCUUGAUCGAAGCCCCGGUAAACGGCGGCCGUAACUAUAACGGUCCUAAGGUAGCGAAAUUCCUUGUCGGGUAAGUUCCGACCUGCACGAAUGGCGUAAUGAUGGCCAGGCUGUCUCCACCCGAGACUCAGUGAAAUUGAACUCGCUGUGAAGAUGCAGUGUACCCGCGGCAAGACGGAAAGACCCCGUGAACCUUUACUAUAGCUUGACACUGAACAUUGAGCCUUGAUGUGUAGGAUAGGUGGGAGGCUUAGAAGUGUGGACGCCAGUCUGCAUGGAGCCGACCUUGAAAUACCACCCUUUAAUGUUUGAUGUUCUAACGUGGACCCGUAAUCCGGGUUGCGGACAGUGUCUGGUGGGUAGUUUGACUGGGGCGGUCUCCUCCUAAAGAGUAACGGAGGAGCACGAAGGUUGGCUAAUCCUG